AAGCCAUCUGAGGGAGCCUCCACACUGCAAUCCCAACCAAACUCACCCCGUCGUUCAAAAUCUCAGGCCUUAAACCCUAGCAAACUCAACCAGUUCCCCUCUCUCUCUCAACAAUGCUGGCUCGCUUCGUUUCCAAACCCUCUAAUUUCCGUCUCUUAACUCUACUCUCCACCAAAUCCCAAUCACACCCUCCAAACCCUAAGUUCACCCUCCCAAGAUUCUUCUCCACCAAUCACAACAACAACGACAAUAACACUAAAGAUCGCUCCACAUUCAAUUCCUGGAAAAUUUCUCAGGAAUACGACGGAAAUGGUGAUUCCAUCGUGGGCCAAGAGGCUGGAACGCUUGCCGGACUCACCGACGAGGGCGGUGCGGCUCCGGCUGAGGAUGAGUCGUGGUUGAAGGAUUCGCCGUGGACCUUCGAAGAGGAGGGAGAGAAAGGUAACGUGUUGGACUUUGGAUGGGAAUUGCAGGAGGAGGUUCGUGCUGUGGGAGGUGAGACUACCAUUGAGGGUGACGGGAGCAAAGAGCUUCUUGAGAAGGAAGAGUCAGCUCUUUCUGCUGUGCUCAAAGGUCCAAAUCGUGCAUUUGGUGACCUUAUUGCAGCAUCUGGAAUCACUGAUGCAAUGCUUGACAGUUUGAUUGCCCUGAAGGACUUGGAAGGGGUUGAGGGAUUGCCCCCGUUAAGUGAGAUCGAAGACAUUCGUUAUGAAAAAAAUACAAGAAAAUCAACCAGGGCUGAGAUAGAGCGCCAGAAGCAGGAGGAAGUUGCAAAAGCUCGAGUUAGACAAGUAGAUGAAAAGGGAAGGGCUUAUGGAACAGGAAGAAGGAAAUGCAGUAUAGCCCGUGUUUGGGUUCAGCCUGGUGAUGGAAAAUUUAUGAUUAAUGACAAGCAAUUUGAUGUUUAUUUUCCAAUGCUUGAUCAUCGUGCUGCUCUUCUUCGACCUUUCUCUGAAACAAAGACAUUGGGUCUUUGGGAUGUCAAUUGUACUGUGAAGGGAGGUGGCCUCUCAGGUCAAGUUGGAGCAAUUCGUUUGGGGAUCAGCAGGGCUUUGCAAAACUGGGAACCAGGAUUACGGCCUCAGCUCAGAGAAGCUGGUUUCUUAACAAGGGAUCCCCGGGUGGUGGAAAGGAAAAAACCUGGAAAAGCAAAAGCAAGAAAGAGCUACCAAUGGGUCAAGCGUUGAUGGGUUUAAGGUUAUUCUUUGUAAGUUACAAGGAUUACUUCAUUUCUUUGGCACCAUAAGUUUUGUUUGAAAUGAUCAGAUAUUCAGAUGGCUUGACUUCUCUUUCCUAUUGUAGCUGUUCCCCCCCAAGUUGUUUCACCCAAAAAUAGACUGCCUGGCAGAGCUGUGAAGAUAUAUUUUCAACCAAAAAUAAAUGUCCUUUUAGCUGUUUCCUGCUGGAGCAGACUUCUCUCUGUAUCUCACAAAAUGCUUUAAUUUCUUAAGACCUUGAUGCAUUAGGAUCUUGGAUUCAACUUUCUUUUAGCCAUGCAAGUCUUGGGUUGGGUCUGAUCUUUUGGUGAAAUGGAGACUGCAAGCCUUGUUUUAUGAGAUGGAGAUGUAAUGUGGGCUCAGACUACUCAGGAAUUGAACCUGGAAUGUUGUGUCCAGGCCCAGCAAUGGAUUUAUGUAAUUAAUAAUAUUUCUAUAGAAAUAUAACCCACUUUAUUUUACUUUA